UGGGGAAUUUUGCACAAUGGGGGAAACCCUGAUGCAGCGACGCCGCGUGAUUUAGAAGGCCUUCGGGUUGUCAAAAUCUUUUCUAUGGGAAGAAAAUGACAGUACCAUAGGAAUAAGGACCGGCUAAUUACGUGCCAGCAGCCGCGGUAAUACGUAAGGUCCGAGCGUUGUCCGGAAUCAUUGGGCGUAAAGGGUACGUAGGCGGGUAAGCAAGUUAGAAGUGAAAUCCUGUAGCUCAACUACAGUAAGCUUUUAAAACUGCUCAUCUUGAGAUAUGGAAGGGAAAGUGGAAUUCCUAGUGUAGCGGUGAAAUGCGCAGAUAUUAGGAGGAAUACCGGUGGCGAAGGCGACUUUCUGGCCAUAAUCUGACGCUGAGGUACGAAAGCGUGGGUAGCAAACAGG
rnacentral:rRNA from 1 species